GACAGAGGUGCCAAGCGUUAGGCGGAAUCACUGGGCUUAAAGCGUGUGUAGGCGGAUCGUUAAGUACCUUGUGAAAUCCCAUGGCUUAACCAUGGAACUGCUUGGUAUACUGGCGGUCUUGAGCCACUUAGGGGCUACCGGAACAAGCGGUGGAGCGGUGAAAUGCGUAGAUAUCGCUUGGAACGCCGAAGGUGAAAACAGGUCGCUGGGGAUGUGCCGACGCUGAGACACGAAAGCCAGGGGAGCAAACGGG
rnacentral:rRNA from 1 species